UUCAAACACGACAAAAACAUACACAAAUAGCUGUUCUCUCAUUUCCAGGGUUAAACCCUCACCGAAAGCACCAAAAGACCUUAAAGAACACCAUGUCCUUCAUCACCGAAACCACUGACACUCGGCAGAAGAAGAAUUAAAACCUUUUCUCACUCUAAAACCUUUUUGUUUCUCUACAUUAAAGAAACCCUGUUCUUCACUUUGCUGAAACCACUGUUCUUCACUUCGCCGUGCUUUAGGUGUUGUAUUGAUCGUAGUGAGAAGUUGGUUCGAAGCUCGGUCCGUGGAAGCUGGUUGGUUCAGAAAUUACAAUGUCGGUUGAUUUAGCACUUUAAGGUAGUGGACAAACUGUUUAGAAUUUAUUGAAGUUCGAUUCACUUAAGGUUUUGCAUUUUAGCUGCUGUUGAGGGAUUGCUGCCUGCUAUUGAAGUUCUACUCACUUUAAGAUAUGGCUAGAGGCAGAGGUCGAGGUAGCGGAGGUUGCUUAGGCAAGUCCUCAGUUAGGGGUGAUUCUGCUAUUCGUGCAACCAUGCCUAGCAUUCCCAUUUCCACCACAAUUAGUCCUCAACAAGGUGGUAUGACUUUCCUAGGUGGCCAGAUCCUAUAAACCGUAGUAGGAAGUUUGAUUCCUUGUCUUUUUCGAGUUAAAGUUAGACGUAAAGUACUAUAAAUUACGAUCUUAUAAUUAAAAAUGAUUAGAAAACAUUUGAAAAAGUCGUAGUCAAGGAAAACUGUUUGACUUCCAAAUAGUAAUGGUUUCUUGUAAAAUGAAGCAGAAGGAAUACUUCGCAAAUGACACUGUAACUUUUGCUGAUUGUAGGAUCAUACUUGAUUGAAAGUCCAAAUGUCAAACUCUAGUUUUCUCCACAAUGUUGUGUUUGUUAGAUAUGAGAUGCAAGAGUUCAACAAAGCUCAUCACUUUACAAUGGAAAAAAGUUCAGGUAUGGUGGAUACAACUUCGAUGUAGGGAAUGAUCCCAAGCAAGAGUCUCAUGUUUCCCUUCAUCUUGGUCUGACAGAUUAUAGAACUGCAUAUAUCAUUUCACAGAGCAGGCACUUAGAGAAUAUGGAUAUGAUUCUGACUAUUCUCCUGGUUACAAGACUACAAUUCAUUUGUACUAAAAGAUGUGACUUGGUUUUCGCCAGAUGAUUGUAUUGAGUGUCAGCACACAUCAAGUCCUCUUGGUAAUGGUGCAGUUGUGGAGACUUUUGACAGAAGAAUACUUGUGCUUCAGAGAAGUAAUAAAGUUGGAGAAUUCCCUGGAUAUUUUGUUUUCCUGGAGGCCAUCCAGAGGUAUCUCAUCUCAUGUUGUAAGUUAUAAGGUUGAGAUCCAACACCAAGUGAGGUACAUUUGAACGUCCAUACACAUGAUCAUGAUGGAGAAUCUUUUGUUGAUGAGCGUGCCCGAGCUGUCCAUGAAAGAUAUCUAGAAAUAUUACGGGAAAAAUCAGAGACUGAGCUAUUGAUCAAUGUGAAGCAUAUUAUGAAGCUGCUGGAGGAGCAAAGAAGAGAUGAAGUCUUGGAUCUCAAGCGCAAAGUUAUUACGGGCUGAAUCUUCGUGUCAAUUCUAGCUUAAAUGCUUCAUCAUCAGCACCACCUCCAAUUUCUAAACCAGCACCGACAGAAAAUAUGGAGGAGUUAGUGAUGCGAUUGAUUCCUACACUGACUGAUCGCAUGCUUCCUGUAUUUAUUGAGCAGACACGCAGGGUGAUUUCUUGACCAUCACAUCAUCCAAAUACACUCCUAUCGACAACCCAUUAGUUGUGACACCUAUAGUGCCUCCUACUACUACUGCUAAUGUUGACGAUGUUGAUCCUUUAGUUUCUGAUGAUGAUCGUAGUCCUCCACCCAUGCAUUAGUUUUUGAUAUUAUCUGUUUUUUGUUGGAAAGAACAAAUUAUGCACUAACCAUACUUGACGGAUGUGGGUUCUUUUGGUAGUUGAUAGCUUGAUGUUAUCAA